rnacentral:rRNA from 1 species
GACGAACGCUGGCGGCGUGCCUAAUACAUGCAAGUAGAACGCUGAAGAGAGGAGCUUGCUCUUCUUGGAUGAGUUGCGAACGGGUGAGUAACGCGUAGGUAACCUGCCUUGUAGCGGGGGAUAACUAUUGGAAACGAUAGCUAAUACCGCAUAACAAUGGAUGACACAUGUCAUUUAUUUGAAAGGGGCAAUUGCUCCACUACAAGAUGGACCUGCGUUGUAUUAGCUAGUAGGUGAGGUAACGGCUCACCUAGGCGACGAUACAUAGCCGACCUGAGAGGGUGAUCGGCCACACUGGGACUGAGACACGGCCCAGACUCCUACGGGAGGCAGCAGUAGGGAAUCUUCGGCAAUGGGGGCAACCCUGACCGAGCAAUGCCGCGUGAGUGAAGAAGGUUUUCGGAUCGUAAAGCUCUGUUGUAAGUCAAGAACGAGUGUGAGAGUGGAAAGUUCACACUGUGACGGUAGCUUACCAGAAAGGGACGGCUAACUACGUGCCAGCAGCCGCGGUAAUACGUAGGUCCCGAGCGUUGUCCGGAUUUAUUGGGCGUAAAGCGAGCGCAGGCGGUUUGAUAAGUCUGAAGUUAAAGGCUGUGGCUCAACCAUAGUUCGCUUUGGAAACUGUCAAACUUGAGUGCAGAAGGGGAGAGUGGAAUUCCAUGUGUAGCGGUGAAAUGCGUAGAUAUAUGGAGGAACACCGGUGGCGAAAGCGGCUCUCUGGUCUGUAACUGACGCUGAGGCUCGAAAGCGUGGGGAGCGAACAGGAUUAGAUACCCUGGUAGUCCACGCCGUAAACGAUGAGUGCUAGGUGUUGGAUCCUUUCCGGGAUUCAGUGCCGCAGCUAACGCAUUAAGCACUCCGCCUGGGGAGUACGACCGCAAGGUUGAAACUCAAAGGAAUUGACGGGGGCCCGCACAAGCGGUGGAGCAUGUGGUUUAAUUCGAAGCAACGCGAAGAACCUUACCAGGUCUUGACAUCCCGAUGCUAUUUCUAGAGAUAGAAAGUUACUUCGGUACAUCGGUGACAGGUGGUGCAUGGUUGUCGUCAGCUCGUGUCGUGAGAUGUUGGGUUAAGUCCCGCAACGAGCGCAACCCCUAUUGUUAGUUGCCAUCAUUCAGUUGGGCACUCUAGCGAGACUGCCGGUAAUAAACCGGAGGAAGGUGGGGAUGACGUCAAAUCAUCAUGCCCCUUAUGACCUGGGCUACACACGUGCUACAAUGGUUGGUACAACGAGUUGCGAGUCGGUGACGGCAAGCUAAUCUCUUAAAGCCAAUCUCAGUUCGGAUUGUAGGCUGCAACUCGCCUACAUGAAGUCGGAAUCGCUAGUAAUCGCGGAUCAGCACGCCGCGGUGAAUACGUUCCCGGGCCU